rnacentral:rRNA from 1 species
GAUGAACGCUGACAGAAUGCUUAACACAUGCAAGUCAACUUGAAUUUGGGUUUUUAACUUAGAUUUGGGUGGCGGACGGGUGAGUAACGCGUAAAGAACUUGCCUCACAGCUAGGGACAACAUUUAGAAAUGAAUGCUAAUACCUAAUAUUAUGAUAAUAGGGCAUCCUAUAAUUAUGAAAGCUAUAUGCGCUGUGAGAGAGCUUUGCGUCCCAUUAGCUAGUUGGAGAGGUAACAGCUCACCAAGGCGAUGAUGGGUAGCCGGCCUGAGAGGGUGAUCGGCCACAAGGGGACUGAGACACGGCCCUUACUCCUACGGGAGGCAGCAGUGGGGAAUAUUGGACAAUGGACCGAGAGUCUGAUCCAGCAAUUCUGUGUGCACGAUGAAGUUUUUCGGAAUGUAAAGUGCUUUCAGUUGGGAAGAAAGAAAUGACGGUACCAACAGAAGAAGUGACGGCUAAAUACGUGCCAGCAGCCGCGGUAAUACGUAUGUCACGAGCGUUAUCCGGAUUUAUUGGGCGUAAAGCGCGUCUAGGUGGUUAUAUAAGUCUGAUGUGAAAAUGCAGGGCUCAACUCUGUAUUGCGUUGGAAACUGUAUAACUAUAGUACUGUAGAGGUAACCUGAACUACCAGUGUAAAGUGAAAAUUCGUAGAGUUUUGCGCAAUGCCGAUGGGGAAGCAAGUUACUGGACGGAUGCUGACACGUAAACUGGAAUCGUGGGUGGGCCACAAAAUUAUAUACACGAGGCAGUACAAAUCAGAUGCACAAAGAUAGAAUAACUUUUUGAUAGGGCGCACCUCGAAGAGGGGCCCGGCCCCCGCGUUUGUUCCCUGUAGCGGGGAUAGGGGGCCACUAUCGACCUAUCCUAGUUAAGGGAUGUCCAG